rnacentral:rRNA from 1 species
UACGUAGGGACCAAGCGUUGUUCGGAUUUACUGGGCGUAAAGGGCGCGUAGGCGGUCAGCACAAGUCAGUUGUGAAAUCUCCGGGCUUAACUCGGAACGGCCAAGUGAUACUGUCAAGCUAGAGUGCAGAAAGGGCAAUCGGAAUUCUUGGUGUAGCGGUGAAAUGCGUAGAUAUCAAGAGGAACACCUGAGGCGAAGGCGGCGACCUGGGUCGACACUGACGCUGAGGCGCGAAAGCGUGGGGAGCAAACAGG